AGAGUUUGAUCAUGGCUCAGAACGAACGCUGGCGGCGUGCUUAAUACAUGCAAGUCGCGCGCGAAAGGGGCUUCGGCCCUAAGUAGAGCGGCGCACGGGUGAGUAACACGUGGAUAAUCUACCCCUCGGCGGGGGAUAAUCUCCCGAAAGGGAGUCUAAUACCGCAUAAGACCACGGGGGCUUCGGCUCCUGAGGUUAAAGGUGGCCUCUGCUUGCAAGCUACCACCGGGGGAUGAGUCCGCGGCGCAUCAGCUAGUUGGCGAGGUAACGGCUCACCAAGGCUUAGACGCGUAGCUGGUCUGAGAGGAUGAUCAGCCACACUGGAACUGAGACACGGUCCAGACUCCUACGGGAGGCAGCAGUAGGGAAUAUUGGACAAUGGGCGAAAGCCUGAUCCAGCAACGCCGCGUGGGUGAUGAAGGCUUUCGGGUCGUAAAGCCCUGUGGGGAGGAACGAAAUGCCUGGAGCUAAUACCUCCGGGAGUUGACGGUACCUCCUUAGCAAGCACCGGCUAACUACGUGCCAGCAGCCGCGGUA
rnacentral:rRNA from 1 species